rnacentral:rRNA from 1 species
AUUGAACGCUGGCGGCAUGCCUUACACAUGCAAGUCGAACGGCAGCACGGGAGCAAUCCUGGUGGCGAGUGGCGAACGGGUGAGUAAUAUAUCGGAACGUGCCCAGUCGUGGGGAUAACGUAGCGAAAGCUACGCUAAUACCGCAUACGAUCUAUGGAUGAAAGCGGGGGAUCGCAAGACCUCGCGCGAUUGGAGCGGCCGAUAUCAGAUUAGGUAGUUGGUGAGGUAAAGGCUCACCAAGCCGACGAUCUGUAGCUGGUCUGAGAGGACGACCAGCCACACUGGGACUGAGACACGGCCCAGACUCCUACGGGAGGCAGCAGUGGGGAAUUUUGGACAAUGGGCGCAAGCCUGAUCCAGCAAUGCCGCGUGCAGGAUGAAGGCCUUCGGUUGUAACGUAGCUUU